rnacentral:rRNA from 1 species
GAGUUUGAUCAUGGCUCAGGAUGAACGCUGGCGGCGUGCCUAAUACAUGCAAGUCGAACGGGUGCAGCGAUGUACUAGUGGCGAACGGGUGAGUAACACGUUGGUGACCUGCCCCAAAGAGGGGAAUACCACUUGGAAACGAGUGACAAAACCGCAUAAGCUGUCUCAGAUUAGAAGGGAGACAGUAAAAGAGAAAUCUACUUUGGGAGGGGCCUGCGGCCCAUCAGCUAGUUGGAGAGGUAACGGCUCACCAAGGCGAAGACGGGUAGGGGACCUGAGAGGGUGAUCCCCCACAAUGGAACUGAAACACGGUCCAUACACCUGCGGGUGGCAGCAGUAGGGAAUAUUGCUUAAUGGGCGAAAGCCUGAAGCAGCAACGCCGCGUGAACGAAGAAGGCCUUCGGGUCGUAAAGUUCUUUUACGUGGGAUGAGGAAGGACCGUACCACNGNA